rnacentral:rRNA from 1 species
GACGAACGCUGGCGGCGUGCCUAAUACAUGCAAGUUGAGCGCUGAAGGUUGGUACUUGUACCAACUGGAUGAGCAGCGAACGGGUGAGUAACGCGUGGGGAAUCUGCCUUUGAGCGGGGGACAACAUUUGGAAACGAAUGCUAAUACCGCAUAAAAACUUUAAACACAAGUUUUAAGUUUGAAAGAUGCAAUUGCAUCACUCAAAGAUGAUCCCGCGUUGUAUUAGCUAGUUGGUGAGGUAAAGGCUCACCAAGGCGAUGAUACAUAGCCGACCUGAGAGGGUGAUCGGCCACAUUGGGACUGCGACCCGGCCCAAACUCCUACGGGAGGCAGCAGUAGGGCAUCUUCGGCAAUGGACGAAAGUCUGACCGAGCAACGCCGCGUGAGUGAAGAAGGUUUUCGGAUCGGAAAACUCUGUUGGUAGAGAAGAACGUUGGUGAGAGUGGAAAGCUCAUCAAGUGACGGUAACUACCCAGAAAGGGACGGCUAACUACGUG